rnacentral:tRNA from 2 species
GGCGAAGGUGGCGGAAUUGGUAGACGCGCUAGCUUCAGGUGUUAGUGUUCUUACGGACGUGGGGGUUCAA